UUCUCAGGCUUAUGGAGAGAGUGAUGGUGUAGGUUGCCAACCGUAGUUACUCCAUAGAGCGCAGAGUGGCUGCGGGGAAUAUACUCAGGCAUCUCCCAAGAAGUCUGCCCAGGGUGAAACAAAUACCUUUGAGGU
rfam:Loxodonta africana cont3.8643, whole genome shotgun sequence.